CAAAACUGAGCCGUCCGAUCUUCCGCCAUCUGGCCGUUGCUCCCCCCUCCUCCUCCGACGCCGCCUCCACCGCUCCUCGCGCCACCCUACCUCGCAUCGCACCUGCCUGCCUUUUCUAAACCCUAGCCGCCGCCCCCUUCCCUGCUGCAAUUCCCCUGGUGGUGCAAGCAGUAGUUGAAGAAGAACCUAAUUGAACCAUGGAUGGAUGGAUGGAUUGGAUUGAAUCCGAUUUGAACUAUUCAUCAAUUGGGGAUUAAACAAGGGUACCGGGAACCAUUCAUAGCGAAUCUUACAACGAGAGCUCCAUAUGACAGGAUGAAUCCAAAGCCAAGGAACAAAACAAGCCUAACGACCCAUUUUGAUGCGAUGAGCACCAAUUUCUUUCUUCCUUUCCUGGUUAUGGGCAAUACUACUAAAGGCAUACAGAACUCCGUGAACGAUGACUGUAUAUGAGGUGCAUGGUCAGUGCUAGACCAGAUCCCUAUAGUUUUUACAUGGAUAUUUUGUUGGGAGACACCUAUGUUGGACUAAUUAACAAUACAACUAAAAUCAGUUGUAUUCAAAUUAACCUUGGCUGUAUAAAAUAUGGAGCUGCUACGGUGGAACGAUGGUUAGAACAAAUCUUCAUAUAUGUGCCUCAUGUGAAUCGGUUUAGACCCGGCUGGAGGAGUGGGACCUGUUGUUGUACCAUGAUACCUAUCCCCCCGGGAACAGAAGAAACAUUGGUUUCGUCCCAGCAUGGCAAACGGACUCAACUCAUUUGACUAGUCUAGUAUGCAUGAAUAUCUGAAUGCAUACUCCUCCUCUUCCUUUUUACUCCCCCCAUUUCUUUUUAUAAGGAGUGCACGCAAUUCAAGAUUCAAGUUUUGUAAUUUUUACUAACAAUUAGUCUAGCGAUAAAUAGGUUUUGUGAUUAAAAAAAUAUAAAGGCAUCUUGUAGUUGGCAAGCUAGCCGUGGAAAAGAUAGGAAACUCUUUGUUUCGGAAUUUGGUCUUAUGGUCAAAGUCCAGAAUCGAUCAAUGGCGGCUGCUAUGCCCUUGGGGAGCAAUCCAACUAAUUCAAUUGCUUACUCAACACACAUUGACUUUUUCUUGGUUUGAGAGAAUAAAAAAUUGGUACUAGUUGUCAUCGAUGAUAGAUGAAGCACUAGAUGUAAGCAGUUUCGUCAGCGCUUAGGCAGGAGAGCAAGCCAAAGUACAUUCAAAAUUCAACCGCCGUGUGCUCCGCUCUGCUCCAUGUGGGGAGCUUUGCUUGAAUUGUGGUCGUCCAUACAGCUACAGGAGCGGAGCUUAGAGAGGAGGGCUACCCCUGUAUCCUGUACUGAUUAUUACAACCGCCUAGUACUAUUAUUCGGUGAUUAUAUUGGUUUGUAUUGAUUUGAUUACAGCCUGUUUGAGCUUAUUUUUUAUUCGGAAUCUUAUCAGCCCUCUGGUAGGUUUUGUUCACGUGAGGAAUCGCAUUAAGCACAAAAUUUGACCAUUUUUAACACAAAACUU